UCGGUGGCUAUGGCGCGGGGGAUCACCCGAUCCCAUUCCGAACUCGGAUGUUAAGCCCCGCUGCGCGGAUGGUACUGCCGGGUUACCCCGGUGGGAGAGUACGUCGCCGCCGAUC
rnacentral:rRNA from 1 species